UACGAAGGGGGCUAGCGUUGCUCGGAAUGACUGGGCGUAAAGGGCGCGUAGGCGGAUUGUACAGUCAGGCGUGAAAUUCCCGGGCUCAACCUGGGGGCUGCGCUUGAGACGUGCGAUCUUGAGUGGGGGAAGAGGGUCGUGGAAUUCCCAGUGUAGAGGUGAAAUUCGUAGAUAUUGGGAAGAACACCGGUGGCGAAGGCGGCGACCUGGUCCUUGACUGACGCUGAGGCGCGAAAGCGUGGGGAGCAA
rnacentral:rRNA from 1 species